UUUAAAAACACCUCCAGAAGGAAGAUCUGUGUGACAAGGGUGUCACUCAUUCCUGGUGGUGUGGCACCGUGAUCAGCGAAUGCCUCCACCAUCGUCCAUCUGAGGACCCGCUGGGAUGUCCAUUGUGACCCCAUGUCUGCUUGACCAUUGUCGCUGUUCCGGGAGGAGCCGAGG